rnacentral:rRNA from 1 species
AGAGAGAGACAUGCGCGCAUAUCAAUAAGCGGAGGAAAAGAAACUAACAAGGAUUCCCCUAGUAACGGCGAGUGAAGCGGGAAGAGCUCAAAUUUGAAAUCUUAAAGGGUUUCCCUUUACGAAUUGUAGUUUAAAGAAGUGUUUUCUGUUGAGGUUUUGGUAAAGUUCUUUGGAAUAGGACAUCAUAGAGGGUGAGAAUCCCGUAUUUGACCUUUACUUUCAACUUUGUGAUACACUUUCAAAGAGUCGGAUUGUUUGGGAAUGCAGUCCAAAAUGGGUGGUAAAUUUCAUCUAAAGCUAAAUAUUGGCGAGAGACCGAUAGCGAACAAGUACCGUGAGGGAGAGAUGAAAAGAACUUUGAAAAGAGAGUUAAACAGUACGUGAAAUUGUCAAAAGGGAAGCGUUUGACACCAGUGUUGUUUUUCUGAAAAUCAAUUAAAGAACUGUUUAUGCUAAGCUGUUUAGACUUUAUCAGCUAUCUGUUUAGUUUUGAGCUUUUCUUUAAUGCACUUUUCAGUUAACAAGUCAACAUCAAUUUCUUUUGCUGUAAAAAGCUUGAGGAAGGUGGCUUGAGAUUCGUCUUAAGUGUUUAUAGCCUCUUGCCUAUGCAGUCGGAGAGAUUGAGGUCUGCAGCGUAGAUCCUUCGGGGCUAAAUGCAUUUGUGCUAAGUUAUAGCAUUUUAUAGACAACUUGUUGACUAUGAUUUGUCUUGUAGCUUACUCGCUUAUGUUAUUUUACCUACGCUUAGGAUGUUGACGCAUGAGAUAUACGC